rnacentral:rRNA from 1 species
UACGUAGGGUGCGAGCGUUGUCCGGAAUUAUUGGGCGUAAAGGGCUCGUAGGCGGUUUGUCGCGUCGGGAGUGAAAACCUUGGGCUUAACUCAGGGCUUGCUUUCGAUACGGGCAGACUAGAGGUAUGCAGGGGAGAACGGAAUUCCUGGUGUAGCGGUGAAAUGCGCAGAUAUCAGGAGGAACACCGGUGGCGAAGGCGGUUCUCUGGGCAUGAUCUGACGCUGAGGAGCGAAAGUGUGGGUAGCAAACAGG